rnacentral:lncRNA from 1 species
AUAUAUUUUAAAUUCUUGUAUAUCUUUCUUUAUCUAUCAUGACAAGCUUUUUAGAGAAAAAACUUAGUUUUUGAGGGUUGGUCCAAGCUAAGAUUAGAUAUUAUAAGAUUUGGUUGGUGAGCCAGAGAAAAUCAAUUAGAUUUGAUUGUGAAUCCAUGAAAAUAAUAGAACUAUAUUCUUGUGGGAUUAUAGUUGAAAUUUUCAGGUGAGUUGACUUGGGGAGU